rnacentral:rRNA from 1 species
UGGGGAAUCUUGGACAAUGGGCGAAAGCCUGAUCCAGCCAUGCCGCGUGGGUGAAGAAGGCCCUAGGGUUGUAAAGCCCUUUCAGCGGGGAGGAUGAUGACGUCACCCGCAGAAGAAGCCCCGGCUAACUCCGUGCCAGCAGCCGCGGUAACACGGAGGGGGCAAGCGUUGUUCGGAAUUACUGGGCGUAAAGCGCGCGUAGGCGGUCGUGCAAGUUAGGCGUGAAAGGCCUGGGCUCAACCUGGGAGGUGCGCCUGAUACUGCGCGACUUGAGUCCGGGAGAGGAUGGCGGAAUGCCCAGUGUAGAGGUGAAAUUCGUAGAUAUUGGGUAGAACACCAGUGGCGAAGGCGGCCAUCUGGACCGGCACUGACGCUGAGGCGCGACAGCGUGGGGAGCAAACA